GAUGAAGAACGUAGCGAAAUGCGAUAAGUAAUGUGAAUUGCAGAAUUCAGUGAAUCAUCGAAUCUUUGAACGCACAUUGCGCCCGCCAGUAUUCUGGCGGGCAUGCCUGUUCGAGCGUCAUUUCAACCAUCAAGCCCCAGGCUUGAGUUGGGGACCUGCGGCUGCCGCAGGCCCUGAAAACCAGUGGCGGGCUCGCUGUCACACCGGGCGUAGUAGAUUUUAUCUCGCUCAGGGCGUGCUGCGGGUCCCGGCCGUUAAAAGCCUUUUUUUACCCAAGGUUGACCUCGGAUCAGGUAGGAAGACCCGCUGAACUUAAGCAUAUCAAUAAGCGGAGGA
rnacentral:misc_RNA from 1 species